GUGCUCUCUUUGGCAGCGCAUAUACUAAAACUGGAAUGAUACAGAGAAGAUUAGCAUGGCCCCUGAGCAAGGAUGACAUGCAAAUUCGUGAAGGGUUCCAUUUUUUU
rnacentral:snRNA from 13 species